rnacentral:tRNA from 1 species
GGACGAUUAGCUCAGUUGGUUAGAGCGCCACGUUGACAUCGUGGAGGUCACAAGUUCGAGUCUUGUAUCGUCCA